rnacentral:rRNA from 1 species
GACAGAGGCCUCGAGCGUUAGGCGGAAUCACUGGGCUUAAAGCGUGUGUAGGCGGGCCCGUAAGUGUCUUGUGAAAUCCCACGGCUCAACCGUGGAACUGCUGGGCAUACUGCGGGUCUUGGGCCAACUAGGGGCAGCCGGAACAAGCGGUGGAGCGGUGAAAUGCGUAGAUAUCGUUUGGAACGCCGAUGGUGAAAACAGGUCGCUGGGGUUGUGCUGACGCUGAGACACGGAAAGCCAGGGAGCGAACGGG